AUACUUGCACCAGGAAUCAUAUGGGCUGACAUGUUGAUCAUGGACUCCCUAGCCUCCAAAAUCGUGAGAAAUAAAUUUCUGUGGUUUAGGCCAUCCAGGGUAUACUACUUUUUAUGGCAGCUAUUAGAAUUCUAGUGCCAAUUCCAAUGUGUACGUGCAGGGUGAGGGUGGGGGCAGGUUUCUCACACCACCAACACCAGCCAUUGUCCCAUAAUUCAAAUCAACUCUGAGACAAUGUCCCUGGAGACAGUGUCGAUUCCACAGGUUAAGAGCUCAGUCCUAUAUGACGGCCCCACUCCCUUCAAACACCAAUCAUAAUUCUACUUACCACUUGUACCUCUGACUGACCAGUUAUAGAUCAGAGGUAUCAACAACCUCCUCCUUGGGCUCAAUUAAUUUGUGAGACCAGCUCCCAGAACUCAGAGAGCCUGUUUGCUUACUAGGUUACUGUUUUAUUAUAAAAGAAUAUAACUCAGGAACAGCCAGGUGGAAGAGAUGCACAGGGCUAGGCAUGGAGAAAGGACACGGAGCUCCACACCCUCUCUGAGCCCACUGCUUUCCCCAAAUUGCUACAUGUUCAUCAACUUGCAAGCUCUCUGAUCCCUGUCAUUUUCAGUUUUGAUGAAGGUUUUGUUAUAGAGGCCUAAUUGGUUAGAUCUUUGGCCAUUGGUGAUUGAUUCCAUCUCCAGCCCCUUCCUGUCCCCAGAGGCCAGAGGUGCAUCUGAAAGUUCCAACUCUCUAAUCACAUAGUUGGCUCUCCUGGCAACCAGACCCCUUCCUCAGGUGGGAUCCAAAAGUCACCUCAUUAAUAUAACAAAAUACACCUUUAUCAGUCCCAUCACUUUGACAAUUCAAAGGGUCUUAGGAGCUCUGUGCCAGAAAAGAGGACAAUGACCAAAUAUACAUUUGUUAUUAUAAAUCACAAGAACACAGCAGGGCUU